rnacentral:rRNA from 1 species
UACGUAGGGAGCAAGCGUUGUCCGGAAUCAUUGGGCGUAAAGCGCGCGUAGGUGGCCCGGUAAGUCCGCUCUGAAAGUCACAGGCUCAACCUGUGAAAGCGGGUGGAUACUGCCGGGCUAGAGUCCGGAAGAGGCGAGUGGAAUUCCUGGUGUAGCGGUGAAAUGCGCAGAUAUCAGGAGGAACACCGGUGGCGAAGGCGGGUCUCUGGGCCGAUACUGACGCUGAGGAGCGAAAGCGUGGGGAGCGAACAGG